CACACACACACAUAUUUGUAGAAAUAAUGGCCAAUAAUUUUCCAAAAAUAAUGAAAAAAAACACAGAGCCACGAAAUUCACAGAAUCCAAAAAAGAUUAAAUGCCAAUGCACAACACACAGACACAUAAGUAAAUACACACACAAACAAAAAAUAUGAUCUAUCAUAUUCAAACGGUUGAAAACCAAAGAUAAGGAGAAAAUCUCGAAGGCAUCUAGAGGAAAAAGACACACUGCCUACAGAUGAACAAAGAUAAGAGUUAUAGCAGACUUUUCAUUAGAGAAUAAGUUAUAUGACCAGAAGAUAAUAGAGUGAUAGCUUUAAAAUACUGAAAGAAAAAACUGUUAACUCGGAAUUCUAUACCCAGCAAAAAUAUCUUUCAAACAUCAAGGAGAUUCAAACCCUUUUUUUCAGGUGAACAAAAACAGAAAAUUCAUUCCCAGCAGAUCAGCGCUACAAGAACUAGAAAAGAAGUUCUGGAGGCAGAAAGAAUAUGAUAUUAGAGAGAAUUUCGGAUCUACCUAAAGAAAUGAAGACCUCUGGAAAUGGACAGAAAAAGAUGCAAGAUAAGGAAUCACAGGACAAGAGUCAGCAGCCUGUCAGCAGAGUAGUUGAGCAGAACCGACUUAAAAUGUUGUUAAAAAACUUGUCGCUCUUGAGGCUAUUCAACAGCUCGAACCCCCGGACCCGCGAACUGUAUAACCUGGCCAAAAGGUGUUGGAAUUCACUGCUCAGAGUUCCAAAGAUCCUCAGGAUCUCCUCCGGGAACAACGAUGCCUGCAAUAAAGUGGAAGAGCACAAUGAAGAGCUCCAGGAGGCUAGGAGCUCCAAGGAGACACUGGAGUCCAAGAAAUUCGAGUCCAUAGAGGAGCCUAAGGAGGUGGAGCCCAAGGUGGGGGUGGGGGAGACGAACAAGGCCCAGCAGUCACCUGCAGCAGGGCCACAGAAAGAAGAGCAGGCGGAGCCUGAGGUCCCAAAGACAUCGAGGGAUCCCGGAGCCCAGGGGAAGCAACCCCCCACUGGGGGCUCCCGCGUCUUCCUCCUGAAGACCCUCCAGCACAGAAUUCCCAAGGAGGACACGAAGCAGCUGGAAGCUGCUGACCAGUGGGUCUGGUUCGAGGGGCUGCCCAAACGAGUCCGCCUCCCAGGGCCCCGGGCGAUGUGCAGACCAUCCGCCCUGCGCUGGGUCAAGCGCUGCUGCACCCGUUUCUGCUCUGCGUCACUUGAGCUGCCUAUGUGCCGUUCAUACAGGGUGUGACAACGCCACUGCCAGGCCAGGGUGGUGCGACCUUGGAGGGGGAGCCACAGAUGUGAGGAGAGGGAGGAGACCGCUCAAUCAUCCGAAAGGGAGGGUUGGGAGGGAAAAUUUUGAAGAAGUCUACAAAUAAAAUCUCCCAUAUGGCACUGAAGAAUACUACCGCUGGCUCUGCCUGUGUGUCUGGGGCAGGAAAGGAUGGAGGAACGAGGCCCUCAGCGGAGGUGGGGAGGGAGAAUGUGCAUCACGACUUCAGCCUUCUUCCACCUCAUCCCCAGGCCCCUAAGGUCAGUCCAGAACCCAGAAUAAGGAAGCCAGCGACCGGUACCCCUCCCCCACCUCCGCGAGCUGGCCUCUGGAGUGGUGCACUUUAUGAAGUCACGGUGGUGGGGGGGGAGGGGGCAUUUGUCGGGUGCUUCCUGGUGCCAGGUGCCUCACAAUAGCCCUGCUAGCCAAGAAGACGAGGAAACCGCGGCGCCGAACCGGCAAGUGACCUGCCCAGGCUCACACAGCUAGGAAGUGGCGCAGCAAGAACUCCUGAUAUAGGUCUCCUGGCUGCUCCCCGUUCCAGUUUCCGAAGGAAAGAAAAAGACGCAACGGGGCAUCGGGUCCGUCAUGCACCGGCAUUGCGACCUGAUUAGCGCAGGGCCAGGUGUCAGUAAACGGAUGUCCGCUGGGCCUCGAAAUGUACCCCACCUGGGUCAGGAAAGCACCGAGUCAGGCGGAGAGUUGGUACUGCGUCCCUACUGCUCCCGUGUGACAUGACACGUGCCACCCUCCAACCCUAAGCCCUGGUCAACCCCAACCGGUCGGGGUCACUCUCAGUCCGUAGGAGCCAUAGGACCCCAAACAUGCAGUUGAGAAAGGAAAACCCGGGGAGCGCGGGCGUUCUCCGGACGAAGACUAUAAUCCUCCGUAUUCCCCAGGAGCGGGCUGCGCGGAGUCGGCGCCCUCGGGAACGCAGCGGAGCCUUCGAGGGCGCAGAGCCCCCAGCCCCGCCCCCGGACGGAGCUAGGGCAGCGAUGGAGAUCGCCAGAUUGGGAGAGAGGGAUUGGAGGGGCUGCCUUUGAACCCGCCCGCUCGCACCCCUCCUCCCCACUGGCGCUCAGCACCGUGACUGGGCAUCCGGGGCACUGGCGCCGGCAGAAAACGGAACGCGUUUCCUCCGGGGCGGCGCGGACGGAAACCCUCAAGCAAGACGGUGGCUUUUAAUUCCCUCUCCACAGAGGGCCUCUCUUGGGACCUUCAUCCACUCCUACAACCCCUGCCUCUGAGGCUCUGUGGUCCCUGGGCUACAGAUACAGGGAGGAGUUCCACACCUGCGCACUGACUGCCCUCUGGGACUGCCAAGAGGAAGCUCUCCUGAUCUGAGAGUUUUUGAGGAAAAAGCCUACGAAAUUCUGCUUCCAGGGGAGCCUGUUUGAGCCGUGUACACCCCAGGACUCAGGGGGACCUGGAGCUUCCCACUCUGCCCCCUGGUGUCUGCUGGCUGCCAUCCUGGACCCCGUUUGGCUCUGAUCUGGACAGGGCUGCCUAGAACUAGGGGUUAGAGGCACCCUGUGAGCUAGACAUCCCUUUCUCCUUUCCUGUCCUCCGUCCAGGUUACAGACUAUCCUGAGCCCCAGCUGUGCAAUAGUCUCCACUUCUCCUCCUAUUGGUCCAAUUUCAGGCAGUGGGUGGGAUGAAGGAAGGUCUAGGCUUCAGACUCAUAGAAAGUCAAGAGACACACCAACUCAGUGGUAGGAUGGAGGUAACUUUCUGAUCUAGGUACUGUCCUUUAUGCUUUGGAAAUAAAAACAUUCCUUACAUUCCUAUGUUCACUUGGAAAUCUGUGGCCCUAUUUAAUGUACCAUGUAUCAGUUUUUCUGAGAAAGCCAGUAACGUUUAUAAAGCACCAUACAUCCUUAGUAUUUAAAACAAUACAAUAGGAUGAGAACGUAUAGAGCGCAGAUUGUUUAACCAAUAAGAACUCAGACAUCCUUAACUAUUAAUGUCUUCUGAAUGAGUUUGUUAAUGUCAUGACUGGAGCCCAAAUCCUGGCUCUGCCAGCUCCUAACAUGGAACCUUGGGCAAGUUUCUUAGUUUCCGCAUCUGUGAAAUACAGCUGAUAUUCCCUACUUCAGAGGGUGGUUGUGAAGAUGAAGUGAGGAAGUGGACAUAAAGCAUUUGGCCCACUGCUGGACAUCUAUUUAUUAAGCAGUCAGUAGAUGUUAUUACUAAAAUGACAAACAUGUCACUGCUAUCGCCCAGUUCUCUCUGGAACUUGCCU